ACAGGUGUUCGCUCCCGAGGAGGGUCGAGCGAUUCGACUGCCAUCCCGAGCCAGGAGCGACUAGGGACGCGUGCUUGAACCGAGGCUGCUGCUGGUCUCCGUCAAGAGAUGGCGUGGAGCACGGUCGCGUGCCCCUUUGCUACUUUGGCCGAGACCACGACGGAUACCAAGUGGUCAACACGAGGACGCUCAACGACCGAGUCAGCCUGCGGCUCAAGCGCAGAACACCGUCGGGCGUUGACGCGGACGUCCAGGAAGUGGACGUCGACGUCAUCUACUAUGACAGGGAUACCGUACGGAUAAGGAUAACGGAUGCCGGCAAAAAGCGAUUCGUCCCUCCAGUUCCACGUAUUCCUUUCCGGAGCUUCGCCGGUGUGCGCGACUAUUCGGUAAACGUGAGCCCCAGUGGAGCCAUCUCGGUGAACCGUAGUACUGCUCAUGGGACGUGGAGCAUUUUCCACACGGAUCUGUCACGCCUGGUGUUCACCAACCGCUUCCUGCAGCUGUCGACGCUGCUGCCCUCGGACGUGCUGUACGGUUUAGGGCAGCACUGGGGUCCCCUCCGCAGGAGCCUCAACUGGACCAGCCAGAUCCUCUUCAACAGAGACAGGCCAGUCAC